AGGACAGUGCUGAUUUUGGUGAUAAUUAUUCCCAAGGACUGAAUACUCUACCCACUAUUCUAUGAAUUAUGAGGUUUUUUUUCUACCUGACUGAUGGAAGCAGAUCUGGCACCAUGCAGCUUCCAACUCUUCUCCAAAGUCACAAUGACCAAGAAAAGUAAAAGUUUUUAAUCAAUUCCUGCCAUAGAGGCAACCAUAACAACACAACUAAAGACAUUCAUAAGAGAGGAUUUCCAGAAUUGCUACCAGACUGAUUUCCAAAUUAAAUGACCAGCAACACUCUACAGAUAAUUGGGAAUUCAUUCUGAAGAUCUAUUAGAUUCUAUGCAAUAUAUGAAGCACUUUACAG